CGCAAUAACUUUUGGGACCUUUAUAUCACUGUCGGAGAUUACUGAAGUUUUUCCUUAAAAGAUAAUAGACAUCAAUUUUCAUUUAUGGGCCCCUAAAAUGCGUCUACUUCCGACUUGCUCAGGGUGAAGUUGGUUGUUGCCCAUAUGAUGCCACUCUCCAGUUAAUUGGGCGCCACUGUUACGCCCCCGAUAUCCUUAUCAUGCAACGAAAAGAUAUUGACGGGGCCGAUAAUAUCGAACGCAACCAACAAAACAAGAUUUUGUAUGACUCGCCAUUCUCAUCAUCUCUUUCUUCAUCGUAAUUAUCUGUAUUUUUUUUACUCUGCUCUCGUUUUAUUAUAACAUCAUCUUGUAACUUUUUCGUUUCACAUAUUAUAAAUCGAA
rnacentral:misc_RNA from 1 species